rnacentral:snoRNA from 1 species
UACCCUGAUGAUAAUCUUUGUUGCUUGACUCCUGAGAGCACGAUUUCUCAAAGACUACAACGGUAUCUGAGU